CUGUCAUUCCGACCAACAGCGUAGGAGGGCUCCUUUUUCUCCGUGCCCCCUGCAGCAUUCCUUGCUUGUAGACUCUUUGGUCGUGGCUGUUCUGGCAGGACUGAGAGGAUACCUCACUCUAGUUUGAUUUGCAUGUACUUCUACCAUCAAGAUGAAGAGGCUAGCCGUCCCACCCCUGCUCAAAGGGCAAUGGGAGAAAACUAGGACCUCAUGCACGAAUGGAGGCCUAAGUGGGAACAGCAGGUGGAGGUUUGCCCUGGGAAGACUCCCUCAUCAACCUGAAAGGGUCCCUUCUCCUCAGGCUUCCAGCACCCCAGGAAACUCCUCGUCUGGAUGGAGUUGAGUAGCUGAUCCUUUGUAACACCUCUAAUCCUGUAUAAAGAGCAGUAAAGCGUGUGUUUAUCGGCCAUGGCUGACCCCAUCUCCUGACCUUUGUCAGAAAAUGAUCUUCAAUUCCCAUGGAGGUUCUCAGUACCUCUGAACACCAAGUGCUGAUUACAC
ensembl:lncRNA